GACGAACGCUGGCGGCGUGCUUAACACAUGCAAGUCGAACGGAAAGGCCCUGCUUUUGUGGGGUGCUCGAGUGGCGAACGGGUGAGUAACACGUGAGUAACCUGCCCUUGACUUUGGGAUAACUUCAGGAAACUGGGGCUAAUACCGGAUAGGAGCUCCUGCUGCAUGGUGGGGGUUGGAAAGUUUCGGCGGUUGGGGAUGGACUCGCGGCUUAUCAGCUUGUUGGUGGGGUAGUGGCUUACCAAGGCUUUGACGGGUAGCCAGCCUGAGAGAGUGACCGGCCACAUUGGGACUGAGAUACGGCCCAGACUCCUACGGGAGGCAGCAGUGGGGAAUAUUGCACAAUGGGCGGAAGCCUGAUGCAGCAACGCCGCGUGCGGGAUGACGGCCUUCGGGUUGUAAACCGCUUUCGCCUGUGACGAAGCGUGAGUGACGGUAAUGGGUAAAGAAGCACCGGCUAACUACGUG
rnacentral:rRNA from 1 species